rnacentral:rRNA from 1 species
CACGUAGGGGGCGAGCGUUGUUCGGAGUUACUGGGCGUAAAGCGCGUGUAGGCGGCCAUGCAAGUCGGAUGUGAAAGCCCCUCGGCUCAACCGGGGAAGUGCACUCGAAACUGCAAGGCUAGAGUCUCGGAGAGGAUCGUGGAAUUCUCGGUGUAGAGGUGAAAUUCGUAGAUAUCGAGAGGAACACCGGUGGCGAAGGCGGCGAUCUGGACGAUGACUGACGCUGAGACGCGAAAGCGUGGGGAGCAAACAGG